rnacentral:misc_RNA from 1 species
AUCUAUUCGUCACCCAACCUCCGCUCCCCGAAAAGGAGCUUUGGUCCCGGGUACGGAUGUUGGCCUCCCGUGCUCUUGAAGCGCGGCUGGCCUAAAACUGAGCAUCGGACUGAUGAUCUCCGAGGCACGCGGUGGUUGUUCAUUCCUACCUCGUGACGUUGCCAAGGAGCGUCUCCCGUACGAAGCUCCACGACCCUAGAUUUACUAUCGAU